GGUGAACGCUGGCGGCGGGCCUAAUACAUGCAAGUCGAGCGGAAACACGGUGAGAGUUUGCCCCUGACGGUAGCGGGGGGCGGGUGGGUAACGAGUGGAUAACCAUCCUAUAAUACUUGGGUGAUAUCGGGGAAACGGAUACAAUAACGGAGAAUAUAAUGAACCGCAGGGAUCAAUAGAGAAAGACGGUUUGGCUGUCACAUAGAGAUGGAUCCGCGCCGCAUUAGCUAGUUGGUAAGGUAACGGCUUACCAAGGCAACGAUGCGUAGCCGACCUGAGAGGGUGAUCGGCCACACUGGAACUGAGACACGGUCCAGACUCCUACGGGAGGCAGCAGUAGGGAACCUUGCGCAAUGGGCGAAAGCCUGACGGAGCAACGCCGCGUGAGUGAUGAAGGUCUUCGGAUCGUAAAACUCUGUUAUUAGGGAAGAACAAAUGUGUAAGUAACUAUGCACGUCUUGACGGUACCUAAUCAGAAAGCCACGGCUAACUACGUG
rnacentral:rRNA from 1 species